rnacentral:rRNA from 1 species
GAGGUGGAAGCCUGGCGGCUUAAUUUGACCUCAACACCGGGAAAACCUCACCCCGGCCCGGACCACCGUGGAGGAUUGACCAGAAUGGAGAGCUCCUUUCUUGAUUCGGGUGGGUGGUGGGGCAAUGGGCCCGUUCUUUAAGUUGGUGGGGAGCAAUUGUUCUGGUUUAAUUCGGUAAACAGAGCGCGGGACUCCAGCCUCAUCAUAAAAUGGUCGCGGGCGGAUUAGCUUGUGUCGCAUCGACAUUCCUUAAAGAGGAAAACGCGGGUGUUUCGACCCCACAAAUAUUUAAGCAAAACAAGGGCCGGGGAGGCCCCAAAAAGCCCCGCCCCCCCCCCCCCCCACAGGAGGGAAAUAAGGGGGUUUUUUAUUUUGGGAAAAGGCUUGGUACACCCGAAAAAACCCCCUUAAUUCGUAUCCGAGAUUUAAAAUUUUUUUUUUAAAAAGGAGAAUCCCCCAAAAGGGGGGGGCCCCCCCCCCCCUUUUUUUCCCCCCCCCCCUUUUAAAAAAAACGGUUUU